rnacentral:rRNA from 1 species
CUACGUGCCAGCAGCCGCGGUAAUACGUAGGGCGCGAGCGUUGUCCGGAAUUAUUGGGCGUAAAGAGCUUGUAGGCGGUUUGUCGCGUCUGCUGUGAAAGGCCGGGGCUUAACCCCGUGUAUUGCAGUGGGUACGGGCAGACUAGAGUGCAGUAGGGGAGACUGGAAUUCCUGGUGUAGCGGUGGAAUGCGCAGAUAUCAGGAGGAACACCGAUGGCGAAGGCAGGUCUCUGGGCUGUAACUGACGCUGAGAAGCGAAAGCAUGGGGAGCGAACAGGAUUAGAUACCCUGGUAGUCCAUGCCGUAAACGUUGGGCACUAGGUGUGGGGGACAUUCCACGUUUUCCGCGCCGUAGCUAACGCAUUAAGUGCCCCGCCUGGGGAGUACGGCCGCAAGGCUAAAACUCAAAGAAAUUGACGGGGACCCGCACAAGCGGUGGAGCAUGUGGUUUAAUUCGAAGCAACGCGAAGAACCUUACCAAGUCUUGACAUCCUUUGACCACUCUAGAGAUAGAGCUUUCC